AUUGAACGCUGGCGGCAGGCCUAACACAUGCAAGUCGAGCGGAUGAAGGGAGCUUGCUCCUGGAUUCAGCGUCGGACGGGUGAGUAAUGCCUAGGAAUCUGCCUGGUAGUGGGGGAUAACGCCCGGAAACGGGCGCUAAUACCGCAUACUUCCUGAGGGAGAAAGUGGGGGAUCUUCGGACCUCACGCUAUCAGAUGAGCCUAGGUCGGAUUAGCUAGUUGGUGGGGUAAAGGCCUACCAAGGCGACGAUCCGUAACUGGUCUGAGAGGAUGAUCAGUCACACUGGAACUGAGACACGGUCCAGACUCCUACGGGAGGGAGCAGUGGGGAAUAUUGGACAAUGGGCGAAAGCCUGAUCCAGCCAUGCCGAGUGUGUGAAGAAGGUCUUCGGAUUGUAAAGAACUUUAAGUUGGGAGGAAGGGCAGUAAGUUAAUACCUUGCUGUUUUGACGUUACCAACAGAAUAAGCACCGGCUAACUUCGUG
rnacentral:rRNA from 1 species